rnacentral:rRNA from 1 species
GAUGAACGCUGGCGGCGUGCCUAAUACAUGCAAGUCGAGCGAACAGAUGAGGAGCUUGCUCUUCUGACGUUAGCGGCGGACGGGUGAGUAACACGUGGAUAACCUACCUAUAAGACUGGGAUAACUUCGGGAAACCGGAGCUAAUACCGGAUAAUAUAUUGAACCGCAUGGUUCAAUAGUGAAAGACGGUUUUGCUGUCACUUAUAGAUGGAUCCGCGCUGCAUUAGCUAGUUGGUAAGGUAACGGCUUACCAAGGCAACGAUGCGUAGCCGACCUGAGAGGGUGAUCGGCCACACUGGAACUGAGACACGGUCCAGACUCCUACGGGAGGCAGCAGUAGGGAAUCUUCCGCAAUGGGCGAAAGCCUGACGGAGCAACGCCGCGUGAGUGAUGAAGGUCUUCGGAUCGUAAAACUCUGUUAUUAGGGAAGAACAAAUGUGUAAGUAACUAUGCACGUCUUGACGGUACCUAAUCAGAAAGCCACGGCUAACUACGUG